UCAUUGCCCUUCACUGGACUCGCCAGUUUGUCUACCUCGUUUCUGUAGUGGGGGGCCCAAAACUGGACACAGUUUAAUUUGUGUACACAUGUAAAUCCAAAUGGCUUUAGUUGCCUUCAGAAUACUGAAUGUUGUUUAGCUGCUGCUAGCUUCUCUGUCUGAGCUUGAUAGACAGAGUCCAGUAUAUCUUUGCAAGUGUCUAGAAGAUGUGUGGGUAGCAGGUCCUUGUGAUGCUUGUUUUGUUUCUGGUUCUCUAUUGGUUUUCUUUUGUCUUUUCCCAGACUUCCUAUCCUGUCUAAUCAGUGGUAUGGACUGCACUGGUGGUGAGCAUAUGUUCCAAUAAUGCGCUUCACCCUUUCUUGAAGUUCAGGACCUCUGUGCCAGUGGAAUUAGCAUCUUUCUCCAGAACAUGAGCGCCAUAUAAAUGCCACAAAGCUGUUAUCAUAUCAUAGGACAGAUACAGUAAUUCUGCACAUGAAAACAAAGAACAAGAACUUUAUUGCAAGGAGAUAUGCCAGCAUUACCAGGCUCUUGAAUGUGAUCAACUGAAGAUACAACUGGAUUAUGCUGUUUUGCUAAUCUCGCUUCUAAACUGUUUCAGGUAAUGUUUCUAGUUCCGUUAAUCUAAGAAUUCCAGGCUACCUUUGCACUUAGUUGCACCCACACUGGAAGAAGUGAACUUUGUUCAGUUCAUUCUGUUCAGGUUUCCUUGUAAAGUGGAAUUUUAAACUGAAUAAAUAAAGCUCUCUUGCUUACCUUGGC